CCUACGGGAGGCAGCAGUGAGGAAUAUUGGUCAAUGGCCGGAAGGCUGAACCAGCCAAGCCGCGUGAAGGACGAAGGUGCCAAGCAUUGUAAACUUCUUUUGUCAAGGGACAAAAUCAGGCUCGAGAGCCUGACCGAGGGUACUUGAAGAAAAAGCAUCGGCGAACUCCGUGCCAGCAGCCGCGGUAAUACGGAGGAUGCGAGCGUUAGCCGGAUUUAUUGGGUUUAAAGGGUGCGUAGGCGGGCUGUUAAGUCAGCGGUAAAAGUCCGGGGCUCAACCCCGGCGAGCCGUUGAAACGGGCUGUCUUGAGAUGUCGAGAGGUAUGCGGAAUGCGCAGUGUAGCGGUGAAAUGCUUAGAUAUUGCGCAGAACUCCGAUUGCGAAGGCAGCAUACCGGCGGCGAUCUGACGCUGAGGCACGAAAGCGUGGGUAUCGAACAGGAUUAGAUACCCCGGUAGUC
rnacentral:rRNA from 1 species